GAUGAACGCUGGCGGCAUGCCUUACACAUGCAAGUCGAACGGUAACAGGUCUUCGGAUGCUGACGAGUGGCGAACGGGUGAGUAAUACAUCGGAACGUGCCUAGUAGUGGGGGAUAACUACUCGAAAGAGUGGCUAAUACCGCAUGAGAUCUACGGAUGGAAGCAGGGGAUCGCAAGACCUUGUGCUACUAGAGCGGCCGAUGGCAGAUUAGGUAGUUGGUGGGAUAAAAGCUUACCAAGCCGACGAUCUGUAGCUGGUCUGAGAGGACGAUCAGCCAGCCUGGGACUGAGACACGGCCCAGACUCCUACGGGAGGCAGCAGUGGGGAAUUUUGGACAAUGGGCGAAAGCCUGAUCCAGCAAUGCCGCGUGCAGGAUGAAGGCCUUCGGGUUGUAAACUGCUUUUGUACGGAACGAAAAGCCCCGGGUUAAUACCCUGGGGUCAUGACGGUACCGUAAGAAUAAGCACCGGCUAACUACGUGCCAGCCGCCGCCGUAA
rnacentral:rRNA from 1 species